rnacentral:rRNA from 1 species
AAUCAACGCUGGCGGCGUGCCUAAUACAUGCAAGUCGAACGCGAGAGGGGCUUCGGCCCCAAUUGAGUGGCAAACGGGUGAGUAACACGUGGGUGAUCUACCUUCGAGUGGGGGAUAACGUUUCGAAAGGAACGCUAAUACCGCAUAACAUCCUGUCUUUGGACAGAUGGAGAUCAAAGCCGGGACCGCAAGGCCUGGCGCUUGAAGAGGAGCCCGCGCCCGAUUAGCUAGNGGUGAGGUAACGGCU